UGCUUCUAGUGAGAAAGUAACUGCCCGUACCGCAAACCGACACAGGUAGUUGAGGAGAGAAUCCUAAGGUGUGCGAGAGAACUCUCGUUAAGGAACUCGGCAAAAUGACCCCGUAACUUCGGGAGAAGGGGUGCUGACCGCAAGGUCAGCCGCAGUGAAUAGGCCCAAGCGACUGUUUAUCAAAAACACAGGUCUCUGCAAAAUCGAAAGAUGACGUAUAGGGGCUGACGCCUGCCCGGUGCUGGAAGGUUAAGAGGAGAGGUUAGCGCAAGCGAAGCUUUGAAUGAAGCCCCAGUAAACGGCGGCCGUAACUAUAACGGUCCUAAGGUAGCGAAAUUCCUUGUCGGGUAAGUUCCGACCCGCACGAAAGGCGUAACGAUUUGGGCACUGUCUCAACGAGAGACUCGGUGAAAUUAUAGUACCAGUGAAGAUGCUGGUUACCCGCGACAGGACGGAAAGACCCCAUGGAGCUUUACUGCAGUUUGAUAUUGCGUGUUUGUAUCACAUGUACAGGAUAGGUAGGAGCCGAAGAUACCGGGACGCCAGUCUCGGAGGAGGCAACGGUGGGAUACUACCCUUGUGAUAUGACCACUCUAACCCGCUGCUCUUAGCGAGCAGGGAGACAGUGUCAGACGGGCAGUUUGACUGGGGCGGUCGCCUCCAAAAAUGUAACGGAGGCGCCCAAAGGUUCCCUCAGAAUGGUUGGAAAUCAUUCGUAGAGUGUAAAGGCAGAAGGGAGCUUGACUGCGAGACCUACAAGUCGAGCAGGGACGAAAGUCGGGCUUAGUGAUCCGGUGGUUCCGCAUGGAAGGGCCAUCGCUCAACGGAUAAAAGCUACCCUGGGGAUAACAGGCUUAUCUCCCCCAAGAGUUCACAUCGACGGGGAGGUUUGGCACCUCGAUGUCGGCUCAUCGCAUCCUGGGGCUGUAGUCGGUCCCAAGGGUUGGGCUGUUCGCCCAUUAAAGCGGUACGCGAGCUGGGUUCAGAACGUCGUGAGACAGUUCGGUCCCUAUCCGUCGCGGGCGUUGGAAAUUUGAGAGGAGCUGUCCUUAGUACGAGAGGACCGGGAUGGACACACCGCUGGUGUACCAGUUGUUCUGCCAAGAGCAUCGCUGGGUAGCUAUGUGUGGACGGGAUAAACGCUGAAAGCAUCUAAGCGUGAAGCCCCCCUCAAGAUGAGAUUUCCCAUCACUUUAAAUGAGUAAGACCCCUGAGAGAUGAUCAGGUAGAUAGGUUGGGAGUGGAAGUACAGUGAUGUAUGGAGCGGACCAAUACUAAUCGGUCGAGGACUUAACC
rnacentral:rRNA from 1 species